AGUGACAAGAAUGAUUAAGGGCCUGGAAAAAAACUCUUUAAAAAGAGAGAUCAAAGAGAUUGGGAUUGUUUAAUUUAGAAAGGAGCAGGGUCGAUUUGAUUUAAAUCAAACUGAUUUAAAUCAUGAUUUAAAUCACUACUCAGGAAGACUCAAUUUAAUCAUGGAUUUCUACAUAAAAGUGCAUUCUUGUUGGUUGUUAUAACCUCAAUACAUAUUCUUCACAACUCAGAGAUAGACGUAGAUUUCAUUUUUAGAAGGUACACACUAUACAUUUUAAAAGUGAUUUAUUUUGAAAACUUUUCAUAUUAGUUUUACAGCUAUAUCAGAAAAUGAAUGAUUGUUUGGUUAUUUAAUUUACCAAAGGUAAUUGAAGCAGAUAUUUAUGAAGUCACUGGGCGGUGAACUAUCUCCAAUUCAACAGUUAAAAAAAUCAGACUUUCUGCUUCAAACAGAUUAUGACUUUAGGUCCAAUCUUGAGCAAGAGAUGAUAUGUCAGGUGCACCUCCCCAGGAAUAGCACCAGGAAGAUGGUGCCUCAAACGUACACCUCUAAGUCAUAAAUCCUACUCUGCUUUCUCUUUGCUACAGGAGUGGAGCUCGGAGAAAACAGAUUGCAUAUUGGAAAAUCCUGGAUGAUGUAAAAAACAUAUUGCCUAGUAAUGAUGUUCUCCUUAUUAAGCAGGCUGGACUGCAUUUCCAUCAGGCAUGAUUUUUCCAUUGUCAUGCAUCUGUGUGAUCAUUUACACUUUUGUAAAGUUAGUGCAGAGUGGAUGUAAAAUGCUACCAUUCAGAUUUUUUAAGCAGCUUUUCACAAGUGUAAAUAAAUGACCAAUCUAUACAAGACAGUGGAGAAUCAGGCCUGUUAUUUGUAACAGUCAGCUUUGACUGGGCAGCUGAAUCCACUUCCACUGUAAUAAAAAUACAGUAGCACAUA